rnacentral:sRNA from 1 species
AUUACAGGCGGAUCCCAUGGGGCCGGAGGCCUGCACCACCGCGAGAUGUGGCCAUUUUACAAGAAAGGGCUAAUAAGUUGGUGAAAUACCUGUUGGUUAAGGACCAGACAAAGAUCCCCAUCAAACGCUCAGACAUGUUGAGGGAUGUCAUCCAAGAAUAUGAUGAAUAUUUCCCAGAAAUCAUUGAACGAGCAAGCUACACUCUGGAGAAGAUGUUUCGAGUCAAUCUGAAAGAAAUUGAUAAGCAAAGUAGCUUGUAUAUUCUCAUCAGCACUCAGGAAUCCUCUGCAGGCAUACUGGGAACGACCAAGGACACACCCAAGCUGGGUCUCCUCAUGGUGAUUCUGAGUGUCAUUUUUAUGAAUGGCAACAAGGCCAGUGAGGCUGUCAUCUGGGAGGUGCUGCGCAAGUUGGGGCUGCGCCCUGGGUAUGACUGGGCUCUCUCAGCGCUUGCUGUCCGUGUUGUCCUUUGGCAAGAGAGGAUGGUCCUAGGAUUGCAUCAGUCUGGUGGUCUGGUGGAGCGGGUGGGGUGCUGGACUGGGUAGAGGGCCCAGGGUUCUGACCUGGGUGGAUGACGGGCAAAUGGUCCUGAACUCUCUGCUGUCUCUCUCCUUUAUGUCCUCUGUCUGUUCUAAGCUGAGAUGUUAGAUAGACCUUCAGGGAUCCCUGACAAAGAGGCAUCUGGUCUUAACUGCUUGCUUCUAGUGGCCAUGUGCUCAUUACUUUCUUCACUUCAUUGAGACUGCCCCAUGUGCUAGAGAGGUCUCUUCCAUGUUGGGAAAUGCCUCUGCCCUCAUCUGGGCAGUUCUGAUCUGUGUUCAUGGGUUAUUUUUCCCAUUGUCAGGGUGAGGCAUUCACUCUUUGGGGAAGUGAGGAAGCUCAUCACAGACGAGUUUGUGAAGCAGAAGUACCUGGAGUACAAGAGGGUCCCUAACAGCAGACCACCUGAAUAUGAGUUCUUCUGGGGCUUGCGCUCCUACCACGAGACUAGCAAGAUGAAAGUCCUCAAGUUUGCAUGCAAGGUGCAGAAGAAAGACCCCAAGGACUGGGCUGUGCAGUACCGCGAGGCAGUGGAGAUGGAAGUCCAAGCUGCAGCUGUGGCUGUGGCUGAGGCUGAAGCCAGGGCUGAGGCAAGAGCCCAAAUGGGGAUUGGAGAGGAAGCUGUGGCUGGGCCCUGGAAUUGGGAUGACAUGGAUAUCGACUGCCUAACAAGGGAAGAGUUAGGCGAUGAUGCUCAGGCCUGGAGCAGAUUUUCAUUUGAAAUUGAGGCCAGAGCCCAAGAAAAUGCAGAUGCCAGCACCAACGUCAACUUCAGCAGAGGAGCUAGUACCAGGGCUGGCUUCAGCGAUGGUGCUAAUAUUAGCUUCAAUGGUGCACCCAGCUCCAGUGGUGGCUUCAGUGGUGGACCUGGCAUUACCUUUGGUGUUGCACCCAGCACCAGUGCCAGCUUCAGCAAUACAGCCAGCAUUAGCUUUGGUGGUACACUGAGCACUAGCUCCAGCUUCAGCAGCGCAGCCAGCAUUAGCUUUGGUGGUGCACCCAGCACCAGCACUAGUUUCAGCAGUGAAGCCAGCAUUAGCUUUGGUGGCAUGCCUUGUACCAGUGCCAGCUUUAGUGGUGGAGUCAGCUCUAGUUUUAGUGGUCCACUCAGCACCAGUGCCACUUUCAGUGGUGGAACCAGCUCUGGCUUUGGAGGCACACUCAGCACCACGGCUGGCUUUAGUGGUGUACUCAGCACUAGCACCAGCUUUGGCAGUGCACCCACAACGAGCACAGUCUUCAGUAGUGCGCUUAGCACCAGCACUGGCUUUGGAGGCAUACUCAGCACCAGUGUCUGUUUUGGUGGCUCUCCCAGCUCCAGUGGUAGCUUUGGUGGUACACUCAGUACCAGUAUCUGCUUUGGUGGCUCUCCCUGCACCAGCACUGGCUUUGGAGGCACACUCAGCACCAGUGUCUCCUUUGGUGGCUCUUCCAGCACCAGUGCCAAUUUUGGUGGUACACUAAGUACCAGCAUCUGCUUUGAUGGCUCUCCCAGCACUGGUGCUGGCUUUGGUGGUGCUCUCAACACCAGUGCCAGCUUUGGCAGUGCGCUCAACACCAGUACUGGUUUUGGUGGUGCUAUGAGCACCAGUGCUGACUUUGGCGGUACACUAAGCACCAGUGUCUGCUUUGGUGGCUCUCCUGGCACCAGUGUCAGCUUUGGCAGUGCACUCAACACCAAUGCUGGUUUUGGUGGUGCUGUCAGCACCAACACUGACUUUGGUGGUACACUAAGCACCAGCGUCUGUUUUGGUGGCUCUCCCAGCACCAGUGCUGGCUUUGGUGGUGCACUCAACACCAAUGCCAGCUUUGGCUGUGCCGUCAGCACCAGUGCCAGCUUCAGUGGUGCUGUCAGCACCAGUGCUUGCUUCAGUGGUGCACCAAUCACCAACCCUGGCUUUGGCGGUGCAUUUAGCACCAGUGCUGGCUUCGGUGGGGCACUUAGUACCGCUGCUGACUUCGGUGGUACUCCCAGCAACAGCAUUGGCUUUGGUGCUGCUCCCAGCACCAGUGUCAGCUUUGGUGGUGCUCAUGGCACCAGCCUCUGUUUUGGUGGAGCUCCCAGCACCAGCCUCUGCUUUGGCAGUGCAUCUAAUACUAACCUAUGCUUUGGUGGCCCUCCUAGCACCAGUGCCUGCUUUAGUGGUGCUACCAGCCCUAGUUUUUGUGAUGGACCCAGCACCAGUACCGGUUUCAGCUUUGGCAAUGGGUUAAGCACCAGUGCUGGAUUUGGUGGUGGACUGAACACCAGUGCUGGCUUUGGUGGUGGCCUAGGCACCAGUGCUGGCUUCAGUGGUGGCCUAAGCACAAGUUCUGGCUUUGAUGGUGGGCUAGGUACCAGCGCUGGCUUCGGUGGAGGACCAGGCACCAGCACUGGUUUUGGUGGUGGACUGGGCACCAGUGCUGGCUUCAGUGGCGGACUGGGCACCAGUGCUGGCUUUGGUGGUGGACUGGUCACUAGUGAUGGCUUUGGUGGUGGACUGGGCACCAAUGCUAGUUUCGGCAGCACACUUGGCACCAGUGCUGGCUUUAGUGGUGGCCUCAGCACCAGCGAUGGCUUUGGCAGUAGGCCUAAUGCCAGCUUCGACAGAGGACUGAGUACCAUCAUUGGCUUUGGCAGUGGUUCCAACACCAGCACUGGCUUUACUGGCGAACCCAGCACCAGCACGGGCUUCAAUAGUGGACCCAGUUCUAUUGUUGGCUUCAGCGGUGGACCAAGCACUGGUGUUGGCUUCUGCAGUGGACCAAGCACCAGUGGCUUCAGCGGUGGACCGAGCACAGGAGCUGGCUUCGGCGGUGGACCAAACACUGGUGCUGGCUUUGGUGGUGGACCGAGCACCAGUGCUGGCUUUGGCAGUGGAGCCGCCAGUCUUGGUGCCUGUGGCUUCUCCUAUGGCUAGUGAGGUUUCAGAUUUAUUCCCCAUGUUUACAGAUACCGCUAAUAAAUUGCAGUAGUCCUUCCCAUGGAGCCAAAGUACAUCCUUGGAAUCUUUGUCCACACAGCAGUCAAGGCAGCUAUGGCCAAUCAGCUGAGGGUGUCAUGUGAUGGAAAAAUCUGUUUGCUGUUCCUGCUUUAUUGUUUGCUUUCUGUGUGCUGUCAUAUUUUGGUAUCAGAGUUACAUUAAAUUUGCAAAAUG